CCUGGAAACAGAUGCUAAUACCGGAUAACAACAGAUGAUGCCUAUCAACUGUUUAAAGAUGGUUCUGCUAUCACUCUUGGAUGGACCUGCGGUGCAUUAGCUAGUUGGUAGGGUAACGGCCUACCAAGGCGAUGAUGCAUAGCCGAGUUGAGAGACUGAUCGGCCACAUUGGGACUGAGACACGGCCCAAACUCCUACGGGAGGCAGCAGC
rnacentral:rRNA from 1 species